rnacentral:rRNA from 1 species
GAGUCAGUUCAGGCAGACCCGAAACCGGGUGAUCUACCCAUGUCCAGGUUGAAGUUUCCGUAAAAGGAAAUGGAGGACCGAACGCACAUCCGUUGAAAAGGGUGGCGAUGAGGUGUGGGUAGGGGAGAAAUUCCAAUCGAACCCGGAGAUAGCUGGUUCUCCUCGAAAUAGCUUUAGGGCUAGCCUCGUAUUAGUUUAGCGGAGGUAGAGCACUGAAUUCUUAAGGGGGCGUCAAAGCUUACCAAGAGAUAUCAAACUCCGAAUGCCGCAUAAAUGAUGUACGGGAGUCAGACUGCACGAGAUAAGUUGGGCAGUCAAAAGGGAAAGAGCCCAGACCACCAGCUAAGGUCCCAAAGUGCGUGUUAAGUGGAAAAGGAUGUGGGAUUUCGAAGACAACUAGGAUGUUGGCUCAGAAGCAGCCACACAUUCAAAGAGUGCGUAAUAGCUCACUAGUCGAGAGGUCCUGCGCCGAAAAUGUCCGGGGCUGAAACACGACACCGAAGCUGUGGAAUGUAGCAAUACAUUGGUAGAGGAGCAUUCUUAACUGCGGCGAAGCGUUACCGUAAGGAGGCGUGGAGUGUUAAGAAGAGAGAAUGCCGGAAUGAGUAGCGAGAUGGAGGUGGGAAUCCUCCAGGCCGAAUAUCUAAGGUUUCCAGAGUAAAGCUGAUCUGCUCUGGGUAAGUCGGGGCCUAAGGCGAGGUCGAAAGACGUAGUCGAUGGACAACAGGUUGAAAUUCCUGUACCGCGUAUUAUCAGAACUGUGGGGACACAGAACCGAAGCCAAACCCGGGAAUGAAAAGACCGGGGCAAGCGCCGGACUGGUUAGACUGGAAAAUCCGUUUAACAACAGGAAAGCGUUAAGCGUACCGAACAAAAGUAGGGAAGUUGGUAUAGGGGCUGUCAAGAAAAGCCGCUAUUGUGUAAUACGUGCCCGUACCGUAAACCGACACAGGUGGAUGAGGAGAGAAUCCUAAGGCCGGCGGGAGAAGCAUUGUUAAGGAACUCGGCAAAAUGACCCUGUAACUUCGGGAUAAAGGGUGCCCACGAGAGUGGGCCGCAGAGAAUAGGCUCAAGCAACUGUUUAGCAAAAACACAGGUCUAUGCAAAACCGAAAGGUGAGGUAUAUGGGCUGACGCCUGCCCGGUGCUGGAAGGUUAAGAGGAGAGGUUAGGAGCAAUCCGAAGCUUUGAAUUUAAGCCCCAGUAAACGGCGGCCGUAACUAUAACGGUCCUAAGGUAGCGAAAUUCCUUGUCGGGUAAGUUCCGACCCGCACGAAAGGCGUAAUGAUUUGAGCGCUGUCUCGACAAUGCACCCGGUGAAAUUGAAGUACCAGUGAAGAUGCUGGUUACCUGCGCCAGGACGGAAAGACCCCAUGGAGCUUUACUCCAGCUUGAUACUGGGAUUCGGUACUGCAUGUACAGGAUAGGUGGGAGGC